AAUUGGGCGGACACCGGCCGCAGCCGUUUGGUUAAGCGAGAAGCGAAACCCCCCGGCUCCACCUGGGAACUGCAUUUCUAACUGGCACACUAGAGUGUGAUAGAGGGUGGUAGAAUUUCAGGUGUAGCGGUGAAAUGCGUAGAGAUCUGAAGGAAUACCGAUGGCGAAGGCAGCCACCUGGGUCAACACUGACGCUCAUGUACGAAAGCGUGGGGAGCAAACGGGAUUAGAUACCCCGGUAGUCCACGCCGUAAACGAUGUCUACUAGAAGCUCGGAACCUCGGUUCUGUUUUUCAAAGCUAACGCAUUAAGUAGACCGCCUGGGGAGUACGGCCGCAAGGUUAAAACUCAAAUGAAUUGACGGCGACCCGCACAACCGGUGGAGCAUGUGGUGUAAUUCGCUGCAACGCGA
rnacentral:rRNA from 1 species